ACUUCCGGGUACAUCGGCAGACUUAUUUACCGUUACGCAUAUAGGUAACCCGAAGAACUCGACAGAAAUAGAAGUUAAAUUUGUUUCGGUCCUCUUCAGAUUUGAAGGAAUGGAAAGCUAGGGUCAAAAAAUGCAGAUGUGUAGACAGGGAGGUAUAUGACAAGUAUAGAAUAUACAGUUGUUCACUAUGGACCAUUAAUCAACUGUUUGCACUGCCUAUGAUCCUAAAAUAUCUAUACAUCAAAGAUAAAAAGGAAAAAGAUGAAGGAGAAUUUGUCCAUGAAGACCUUUAUUGCAACUACCAUCUUCCAGUUCCUUAAUUUGACAAGCUCACAAAUUUGCAUUCAAAGCUUUGAUAUCAAGCUGACCAUUUUUCAAUUAGAAUAUGAAUUAUAACUCUAUGAUAAUUUGUUCAUGUUAAUUUUCAAAGUAUUUACAUUUGUAAAAGGAAAUAUUCUUAUUCUUGUAUCAGUAGACAUCACAGUGUAAAGUUACACUGUCUAAAUAACUAAUAAUAAUUUCCAGUGCUUUCCUGAAGUUUUUCUUCCACUGGAAUAUCAGUGUGAUAUAUGUGCUAAGCAGUGCACUAUAAAUUGUGUAAAAAUAAAAGUUUAUCAAACUUAUGAACUGUUUUUUGUUUCUACUAUUUGGCAUAUAUUUAUAGCAGUACUUGAUCAUAAGGGUUCAUCUGAAAAAUAAGUGUCACUGUGUACUUUAAUUCUCUAACAGCAAUGGCUAGAUUGCUUGAAUAUACAGGCAUUGACUAUAUUAAAUACUAUGCAUGUCAUUUGAAUUUUGUCUGUCCUGAAAUCGAAACAGACACUAUCUAAAUAAUAUUGAGUUCUUGACAGCUCUUCAAUGACUACAUUUACCCACAUGUACAUGGACAGAAGUUAAAAGCAUUGUGUGUUUUUUUAAAACAUUGACAAUUUUGAAACAGUUCCAAUGGGUAUAUUAAUGUAUCAGUGAUGUAAUUGUUUUGUAUCAAGUGCAAACCCUAAGUGUUGCAUGUUUUGUAUAGAUAAUUCACUUUUGGUCAAAUGUCAACAGGUUCAAUACAUUAUAAAACAGGUAAUUUGCAACCCAAAAAAGUAUAUGGUAUGUAAUAACUGCCCCUCUGAUACUAAAAUCUUUCAAGGAAUGCAGAAUUGAUAGUCUUCUCCAAUUUUGUGAUUAAGAGACAGACUUGGGCUUUGGGCUUUCAAGGGCUAGCAAGCUAGUGUUUUGCUACAGAAUACUCAACACAGAUGAAUUGCAUCAAUAUUGUUUACUCUGGUAUUACUACCUGCCAUGUACAAUGCAAAUCAUGGCUUUUCUAAGAGCAGUGAAAGGCUAUAACUGGAAGGAAAUUUACACAUCUUGCCUCAGAAACAAGUUUUUCUUUGAGAUGAUUUUUAUGAUAUUUAAAUGAUGGUUAUAGAUUACAUUACUUUUACAAUUGCAGUGAUCAUGGUGAUAGUAUGAAAUGAAACUCAAUCAAGAUAGAAACAUUUUAAUGCAGAUCAUUUAUCUUUUUACCAUUCUUGUCACCUUACAAGUCUAUUUAAAACAUAUUUAUCUUAACUGUUUUGAAACUACAUGAUGCCUGGUUGAAACUGUUUUGGACAGCCAUUUGCAGAAGAUAAAUUGUCUUUUGAUG